AGGACGACGCUGGCGGCGUGCUUAACACAUGCAAGUCGGACGGUCGGCACUGGAAGGUUCGCUGGAAGGUGCCGAUAGUGGCGGACGGGUGAGUAACGCGUGAGGACAUGGCUCCAGGAGGGGGAUAACGUUUGGAAACGGACGCUAAGACCCCAUAAGCCGGGAGGUGAAAAUGGCGCAAGCCAGCCUGGAGAGUGACUCGCGUCCUAUCAGCUGGUUGUGGGGUGACGGCCCACCAAGGCGAUGACGGGUAGCCGACCUGAGAGGGUGGCCGGCCACACUGGAACUGAGAUACGGUCCAGACUCCUACGGGAGGCAGCAGUGGGGAAUAUUGGGCAAUGGGCGCAAGCCUGACCCAGCGACGCCGCGUGGGGGAAGAAGUCUUUCGGGACGUAAACCCAUGUUGUACGGGACGAAGGAAGUGACGGUACCGUACGAGGAAGCCCCGGCAAACUACGUG
rnacentral:rRNA from 1 species